GACACUGGGCUCAUACUGGGCUGACACUGGGCUCAUACUGGGCUGACACUGGGCUCAUACUGGGCUGACACUGGGCUCAUACUGGGCUGACACUGGGCUCAUACUGGGCUCAUACUGGGCUCAUACUGAACAGAAGCGCUCACAUCUGGCCUUGGCUUCUUACACAGGGGCCUUGUGCUACCGGCGCUACACUGGGGACAGGACAGCCCUUGGAUUUGUGAGCCCUUCCAUGCUCUCACCCACAGCUGCUGAUGGCUGAAGCCUGGCUGGAGGAAGAAGAGGAGGAGCUGAGAGAGCUCAGGGACAGUGCUGGGAACAGGAGGCACAGGAGGUCCAACCUCAACCAAGCUGCAGAUGAUUUUACCUUUGAUUAUAUGUUGGAGAAUCCUGGGAGUUGUGGACCAGUAAAUAAGGAGCCCCAAUUUCAAAUAAUAGACUUUUUCAAAAGAGAGACAUUGUACGUAUACUCUCAUACUGUAUUUUGUUAGACUACUCUGUGUAUUAAAUAAGGUUAAAAUAAGGAAAUUAAAAUAUGAGAUUAUGUUUUAUUUUAAAUGUAGUAUCAUUUUUUUCUGCACGUUGGCAUUUAUACAUGUAGCUAAAAACUGUCAUUUUGCUAUUCUAAGCCUUAAAAACUACAUCAUAAACAUCUUCAGAUGUUCAUGUACAGAUGCAUUCAUACAUUGAAGGAGGGUUCUGUUCUAGCUAAGAUUUAUGUCCUUGUGUUUUACUGUAGGUUUAAUGUUAAAUAAGGUGAAUAUUAGCUCUCAAGAACCAAGUAAACACAACUUCUUUUGAAUUCAUAUAGCAGUUAUCGCAGAUCUGUACAUGUUAAAGUAUUUUCUCUGAAGUAGAAGUACUGGUUUUCUUUGCCUUGUGUUUUCAUACUUGUGCUGGGUUUCGCUGUUUUCUGAAAGAGCCCCUGUCCUUCAAACAUACUAUGGGGCAGAUUUAUCACAGUACGAAUUUGCAUCCCGAAAUGGAAAAAAAUCAGAUUAAAUACGAAAUUUCUGAUGAUCGGAAAUGUCAUGAAAAUGCUUAUGAAAAGAUCGUAUUUUUCACGAUAAUAUCAUAUUGGCGAGCCAAAAGUCACGAAAUUUUUGUAUCUCAACGAUCGUAAAUGUCGGGAAAACUUUUGUGACAGAUCUUUACCUUGCCUCCCCGCUGAGGGCUCAGUUACUUACUCUAACAGGAUGUGCAAUAACAAAGUAUUUAUAAGCUUGUAAGUUGAAGUUCAUGAGAAUCAGAACACCUACCUUAUUUGUGCAUACAUGUAUUUACUUUAUAAUUUAAUAACAUUAAAACCCAGUGUGAAAAUUGUG